AAUAGGGUUUGGAUAGGAGAAAAUGGAGCAGACCCAUAGCUUGGGCCCAAAGUCUAUACUCAACUAAGACUAGUGGUGCAACGGGGCCUUGGAAAGGUGUUUGUAGCAAUGUGCAUGGGCUUUGGCCCAAAGUUACAAUUCAACAUUGUGAGGAAAACUCAGUGAAGUUCCACACAUUCAAUUAGACUCAUCCCGUGUUCAAACACUCUCCCUCUUGAAGAUUAUUGGCCGCCGCCUCCGCCGCAUCGGAAAUUGCCUCCGACGGAGGCGGAGGCUCCAUCACCAUCAUUCCAUACCUCAAUCUGGACGUCGUUUUAUGCUCUUCAUAAGCCCUAUGCUAAUUUCAUCUAAAAGCAUCAAGAGGGAUCCAGACCUUAGGGGUUUGGUCCCUCUGGUCUCGAACUAUAUCUUAGUAGUGAAAUAACGCAAUGAAAGUGAAGAAAUCAAGUGCGCUGACCUGGGCAACAAAGUAUUCAACGGAACCGGAAGCAAAUUCACUGCAGUUUCACCUCCAAAGCUUCAAUUCUAGGGUGAAUAACCCAAGGUGCUGAUGAUUGUUGAAUCACAUUGCCAUGCUAUUAGAAAAAUGUUGUUGCUGCAUAUUGAUGUAUGGACUGUCCAAUGGUCAGCUGAGCAUGAUUUCAAAUUGAUAUAUAAUAGGUUGAAGCAAGGCAAGAUGCAGGUUGCAGGACUUGUAAUGGCAUGAUUAUGGCAUGGUGGUCCAGUGCAAUUGUAGCAUAUGGCAAGGAAAUGUUUUAGGCUAUAGCAGGUGAAGCUUAUGAGGUGAUUGUUAUGGAAUUGUGAACACGAGAUGAAUGACAUAUAUGCCUUGAUAUUUUGCAUGUUUUGUGAAAGGCUACCAUCGCUUGAUGUUGGUCCUAACUUUCUAAGCAUGUUGGCAUAAGGUGUAUUUGGGUUUGGUUCUUGCUUGGGGAACAAGGUGUAUGAAGAUGCCGAGAGGAAAUGGAGGAAAUUGGAAUCAACAUAAGGCUGUAAAUAAAAUAGGUCUUAGGGUUUAGAAAAGACAUGUGGGUUGACUUUGGUCAAGGUUGACAAAAAAGUCAACCAUUGACCAAAGUCAAAUUUGGUCAAUGUUGUGAUUUUUUUUUUUUGUAAUUUCCUUGUAUGAAUGAUGUGAAUCGGUAUUUGUAUGAAUGUAAUGCAUAAUUGUGAUGAAAA